GGUUAAUAAAGCAGUCUUUUGUACUUGUGUCGUUAUUAUUUCGAUAGCGAGGUAUAGGGGAUGAUGAAUUUUCAGCGUUUCGCCCGGGACUAUAAAGAUAACAAGGCGUAGACGCUUUCACGCCGUUGGACCAAAGUUCGGCGCCUGCAUUUCAUCGUGGACAUGGUGUUGAUGUUGAUGUUUUGGCAUACGGAGGAAGAGAGAGAGAGCUAAACAUUUUACGAAGCGGCUUUUUACUGGUUAAGCCUUCAUACUGAUCACUACAUCUGAACAAGGAACCACGCAGAGAAUCUAGCCUCCUUUAACUCAAGUUCUUUGUUCGUACAAACUGAUUUUCCUUCGAUUCAUCGUGGGACAAUCACAUUAGCAAAAUCGAUUUUUAAAGUGAAACUUCAUUGUCAUCUUACUACGCAAAACAGCUGAUUUAUUUAUCGUAACUUGCGAUAGAAAAGUCGAUGUCCCUAUUGCGUUCAUCAUAAUCGCGUGUUUACGCUGACUACUUUUCGAAAUUUCGUCCCGAGAGGAACAAUGAUGCAUUGAAUCUUGGCACAAACGAGAUUGCCAACAUUUGUUACUCCGCGCUACGAAGCAACCAGUUUUCGGAAAUUCAAAAAAAUGAACGGAAAACAGGGUACGACGGUGAAGCCAGCACCUACUGAUCCUGGAUCAGCAAAUGGAGAUGCAAAGUCAGAUAGUAUUGAACAGUCUAUAGAGAUGGGUAUUGCGUGUUGUAAAUGGACAAUAAAACCAAACACAGUUAAAAUUGCUGCCGGCGAAAAUAAAGUGUUAAUGUCGCCGACACUGCCGAUAGAGAAUAAAGGGGGGAUAACUUUGUGGCGAAUAAAAUUAGGGCUGAAUAACUUGAGCGAUAAAACGCCGCAACUACUUCACCAAAUUCACAUAACUGUUGUCAAUGUAGAUAACCAUGAUGUUCGAUGUCGAUACAGAGUCAGAAUAUUUGAUGGUAAAAAUGCUCUAUGGUAUGAUGGGAUUGAUAAAAACCAAACAUUCGAUGACAUUAAAGAGAGAAAGGAAGUACUAUCAAGCACGGAGGCAUAUGAUCUUUCAGCAAUUACCGUAUUAUUGUCUGUAUAUUCUGACGAGUAAGUGUAAAAUAAAGUUAACGAGGUAGCAAAUAAACAAAU